CCCCUUCAUGACUGCCUAGUUGGCGCUGCGUUUUUCAAUCAUAAAUAACCCCCGGUUUGACUGGUAAAUAAUUCUUUAAGAAGUCACUAAAGUGGCGUUCCCCAAUAAAGCAAAUGCCGGUUGAGUCCUUUUUAGUAGCCACACUAAAGUGGUGUGCUAACGCUAUUUGCCGCACCUCCGUUUUCAGUAAAUGCGCCAAGGGAAACACCACGUCUUGUAGUUGCGCUGGUUUGACAUGCGCUAAAAAAUAGGUUUGGUCCUUGUGCUUGUCUUUGGGAAUGGCCAGUAAAGGUUGGUUGUUGUCCCAGCUAAGUGCCGCAUAAUGCCCUGUAGCAAAGUCACUGUUGGGAUCUAACUGCUUGCAGUAAUCACGCAUUAGCCCAAAUUUAAUUAAACGGUUACACAACAUGUCGGGGUUAGGGGUUAACCCGUUUUUAAAGGCAUCAAUGGUAGGGAGAAAUACCUGCUUUCAGUACGGUUCCACCAGGUUUUGCUUAAUUAGUUUGAUUCCUAGUAAUUGGGCAAUUGCUUGCGCUUCGCGAAAAUCUUCUUUGGACGAACAACCCGACUUAU
rnacentral:sRNA from 1 species